rnacentral:rRNA from 1 species
AACGAACGCUGGCGGCAGGCUUAACACAUGCAAGUCGAACGGUAACAGGUCUUCGGAUGCUGACGAGUGGCGAACGGGUGAGUAAUACAUCGGAACGUGCCCGAUCGUGGGGGAUAACGAAGCGAAAGCUUUGCUAAUACCGCAUAAGAUCUACGGAUGAAAGCGGGGGACCGCAAGGCCUUGCGCGAACGGAGCGGCCGAUGGCAGAUUAGGUAGUUGGUGGGAUAAAAGCUUACCAAGCCGACGAUCUGUAGCUGGUCUGAGAGGACGACCAGCCACACUGGGACUGAGACACGGCCCAGACUCCUACGGGAGGCAGCAGUGGGGAAUUUUGGACAAUGGGCGAAAGCCUGAUCCAGCCAUGCCGCGUGCAGGAUGAAGGCCUUCGGGUUGUAAACUGCUUUUGUACGGAACGAAAAGACUCUUUCUAAUAAAGAGGGUCCAUGACGGUACCGUAAGAAUAAGCACCGGCUAACUACGUGCCAGCCGCCGCAGUAAAAC